GAUGAAGAACGUAGCGAAAUGCGAUAAGUAAUGCGAAUUGCAGAAUUUCCGUGAGUCAUCGAAUCUUUGAACGCACAUUGCGCCCCUUGGUAUUCCGGGGGGCAUGCCUGUUCGAGCGUCAUUAUCACCCCUCAAGCUCAGCUUGGUGUUGGGGCCGGCCCCUCACAGGGCCGCCCCUAAAAGCAGUGGCGGUGCCAUCUGGCUCUACGCGUAGUAAUACUCCUCGCGACAGAGUCCCGGUGGUGUCCUGCCAGAACCCCCCAUCUUUUUUAAUGAUUGACCUCGGAUCAGGUAGGGAUACCCGCUGAACUUAAGCAUAUCAAUAAGCGGAGGA
rnacentral:misc_RNA from 1 species